UACGGGGGGAGCAAGCGUUGUUCGGAUUUAUUGGGCGUAAAGAGCGUGUGGGCGGCCAGGUAGGUCGGUUGUGAAAACUCGAGGCUCAACCUCGAGAUGUCGACCGAAACCAUCUGGCUAGAGUCCGGAAGAGGAGAAUGGAAUUCCCGGUGUAGCGGUGAAAUGCGCAGAUAUCGGGAAGAACACCCGUGGCGAAGGCGGUUCUCUGGGACGGUACUGACGCUGAGACGCGAAAGCGUGGGGAGCGAACAGG
rnacentral:rRNA from 1 species